GGUAUAUAUAGCGGUGCUCACGGGCUCUGGAGCAGACCACUGGGAGGCCUCAAAAUGACUAAGCGGACUGGGAAGCCCCAAGGCUCCAGAGUAGUUAGGAAACACCUGCCUCCUGUUACCCGGGGCAAAAGGAUGAAGACCUCCUCUCAAUUGAGGCCCAAAACAAAUGUCAAGGUGGCCAAGGCAAGUGCGAGAGUGAAUAAUCACCUACAGGCAAAGCUGACCAAGAAAACUUCUCAGAAACCGCCCACCACGAGGAACCUUAGAAAAAUCGGAGGCUCAAAACUCUGUAGCCAGGGUUCCAAGGUGAAUGAAGAGCUGAAUCAGAACGGACCAGAGGAGGUCCCAGAGAGUGUGGAGAUGCCUGUCAUUCCAGCGGGACCGGUGGGCAGCCAGUGACUUGAAGGUGGCCAAGGCAAGUGCGAGAGUGAAUAAUCACCUACAGGCAAAGCUGACCAAGAAAACUUCUCAGAAACCACCCACCACGAGGAACCUUAGAAAAAUCGGAGGCUCAAAGCUCUGUAGCCAGGGUUCCAAGGUGAAUGAAGAGCUGAGUCAGAAUGGACCAGAGGAGGUCCCAGAGAGUGUGGAGAUGCCUGUCAUUCCAGUGGGACCGGUGGGCAGCCAGUGACUUGAAGGCAUGGCUAGAGACCUCAGAAAUCUUUGGGGGUCUUGCCACUGAGUACUGGCCAACAGUACAGACAUUGACUAUUAUACCAACUGCAUACAUUAAGAAUGAAAAUAAAAUCAACCUGAU
rnacentral:lncRNA from 1 species